rnacentral:rRNA from 1 species
UACGAAGGGGGCUAGCGUUGCUCGGAAUACUGGGCGUAAAGGGCGCGUAGGCGGCACUGUUAGUCAGGCGUGAAAGUCCUGGGCUCAACCUGGGAACUGCGCUUGAUACGGCAGAGCUAGAGGAUGGAAGAGGCUCGCGGAAUUCCCAGUGUAGAGGUGAAAUUCGUAGAUAUUGGGAAGAACACCGGUGGCGAAGGCGGCGAGCUGGUCCAUUACUGACGCUGAGGUGCGAAAGCGUGGGGAGCAAACAGG